GCCUUGACUAUCAGUUUCAUGUGCACUCGAUGAAUCAUGCUUUUCGGCAUAUAGACUCUCUGAAGUAUUGGAUGAGCCAUCAAAUCCAGCUGUCAAGUCGGCAUAUUCGUUUAGUUCCACUUCCUCCUCAACAGAAGAGAGUUCUUUAGCCUCUGGUCUGAAUCUGACCCUUGAACUAACCUUAUCAAUGUGAUCAUGGCCAGUCUCUCCUGAAAAUACGACUUUCCCAGUAACAGGGUCAUCAUUUU
rnacentral:misc_RNA from 1 species